rnacentral:lncRNA from 1 species
UGUUGUUUAGUGUCAGACCCAGUCCUGUAGGUGGCAGUGUUAGCACACCAUUCAGAUGCUGGACAGGAAAACAGACACUCGACACAAACACUGAGGGGAAUUUUAGUAGAGAAACUGAGAGACAAAGAUGAAGACGAUUAAGAUUGGGGCUGAAAGGAGAACUUCCAGAUGUGGUGUGGGCAAAAUGCCUGUUGGGACAAAAACACAGGAACUUCCUCUGACAGCGGAGAUUAAUCAAAACCCGGGGAAUCUUUUCAUGAAAGACAGCGAGAAAAAUCUGACAGGAAGAACUGGAAGAUCUCAGUCACAAGUCAAUGCUCAGCGCAGAACAACAGGUGCAGGAGCUCAACUUACAGACCUGCAGCUUCUGCUGUCUGAGACGCACUCAAAUACUUGAUGUUUUUUUUUGUAUUAAGCAUUAAGUUGAUAUUUUAACGUGGAUUGGGUUAUUUGUGCUGUAUUUUUUAAUAAAAAGAAUAGUUUUAAUUAGUGUUGGGCAAGAAUGCAUUUUUUAUAUAAUAUAUGUUAUCUUUCAUCUGAAACAACAAUGUGAACUUUGGACAUUAACUUUUAAACGCAUAAUUAUCCAAAGUUUGGUGAGGAACGGUUUCAGGAAUCAGGUAAGAC